rnacentral:lncRNA from 1 species
AGGCAGCUGCUGAGAACUCACACAGACCCAUGAUCACACAGGACCGAGACACUAAUGAAUAGAAUGUACAUUUGUUCCUGCUGUGUGAUUGUCCAUCUGUCUGUGCCUGGACAACCACUCCAUCCCCACUGGAUGCAGUAAACAGCACCACUGCCCACUGGCAUUGUGAACCUGGUGUCCAUCACUGAGCUCUGCUGGGGAUAGUCUAUGUGGCAGCUGCUGUAGCUCUUGCUCAGAGUGCUGGAUCCCAGAGUAUUGCAGAAGCCCAAGUGGCCAGACCUAGAGCAAGAGCCCAAAAUCAGAACCCUGCAAGCUGGAGACCAGCAGGCAUUACCAUCUGGGGCUCCCGUAGGAGCUGGCGGUGCCAGGCCACGCUGUCCACUCGACUCUGCUGCUUGUUCCAGUGCAUGAGGAGGUGACCUUAACUUCCAGACAAUGUGGCCAGAUGAGGGAACACAGACUGCAUGGAGGACCUUGGAAGAGUUUGCGGGGCACAGCCCUGCUGGCACAAAGCCUGACACAGAAGGACACAGACACCCCUGCACGGUGAACAGUGACUGAUACUUGUCAUUUACAAGCCUCUUCUUCAGCUCAUCCCCAUGUUGAAAGCAAGAGCUGCUGAGGUAGGGUUACAUGCUGCCAAAAAUGAAAACUGAGGUUCAGAGAGUAUGUGAUUGCUUCAAUGGGCCCAGAGUAGUGAUGAGUUAUCCCCAGUGCUGAUGUGACAAAAUCUUGCCAUUCUACUCAUAGUGUUGCUUCUUCCAGGGCAGUGGAUGUAGGAGUCUCUUCUGGGAGCUGAACCUUUGCAGGAGGCUGGACUAGCAGGGAGAGAUGCAGAGAACUGUGGGCACAGGACAGGGUCCACCGAUUGCGAAAGCAAGAAUGGAAUGAGAAGUAUGAGCAAUGGAUCGAUAUACUAGUCGAACUGAAAUAAGAUAUUGUCAGAACUAUUUGUCCAAGGAAAAUCAGAUGUUCACAACAGAAGUUACAUUCUGAGCUAGAUUUAUCAGAGCCUCCAGCCAGGAUCACUGCACCAGGCCUAGAGAGCAGAGGGAAGAUUUGUGUCUCACUUUCCCAUGGGCCUGGAGCCCUGUGUAAGCCUCAGAGCCACUGUGAAAUCCACUGCCCCUGUGCAGACCCCGAGACAGACCCAUUCUCAGGCUGCAGCACAGCAACGUGCAAAAUCCUUGCACAGGCCGACGCAUCUUUAGAUCCCAAGAUGUGGCUGGGAGCCUCAGAGCCCUGUUUCUUACUUGAGUCCAAGUAGAAGUUCACGAGAUAUUAGAUAGGGUUCCCUGGAUUCUGCCAGAACCAGUCACCGAUUUCUUCUGAUGGAAUCACUGAUUCAUUGUGGUGAUUAUCCAAGGGUGUAUAAAUAUCUUAAAACACACAAAAUUGGGCACUUUAAAUAUCAGGGGUUUAUUUUGUUAAUUAUUCCUCAAUAAAAAGACACAUAAAAAAUAGGCUGAAA